UACGACGAGGCGAUAAAGUCACACGAAGAGUCGCUCGAGUUGAAGAGGCGAUGCGAUGACGGGAAUCUAGUGGGAAUGUCUGCGAUUCUCAUCAAUCUUGGUUACUGCUACAGAAAGAGCGGGAAACUUGAGAAAAGUUUGAGUGUAACGGAAGAGGGAGUCGCCGUCAGCCGAUCAUGCUACUCAUCUGCUCAUCCCUCCUUAGCAGUUGCUAUAUCUUACCUUUCCUAUACGUACGAUUUACUUGACAGAAACGACGAAGCUUGUAAAUUGGCAAGAGAAGCGUUAGAUAUUGC